ACAGUGGUUUCUGUGUUGAAGGUGGUCGCGGCUCAGAAGCCAACCCUCACGGUUCCCCCACCCGGUCCUGCGGCCCCCAGGGCAGCUCCAGCGAGGAGAUAUGGGUGCUGCGCAAGCCUGGGCCAGGUGGAGACCGUAGUAGCGUGGGGAGCUCUGGCAGCGUGACCAGCGUGAGGUCAUCAGGGAGUGGUCAGAGUGCCGGGAGCUCCACCCACAUUAUCCACGCGCAGGCCGAGGGGGUUAAGCUCCUGGCGACAGUGCUGUCUCAGUCUGCCAAAGCCAAAGAGCACCUGCUGGAGCAGUCCAAGUCUGUAGAGCUAUCUACAGGCACCGCCUCUGCCUCUAGACAGUCGAGCCAAUCAGGAUGCCCGCUCCAUGAAGCUCCACCCUAUGACGCCACGGCAACCUGGAAGGGGGAGGGGCAAGGCGAGGGGAAGAGCUCUGAGGCUGUUGUCCAAUGGCUGAGUGACUUUCAGCUGCAGGUCUACGCUCCAAACUUCAUCAGCGCCGGGG